ACGGAGGGUGCAAGCGUUAUUCGGAUUUAUUGGGCGUAAAGCGCGCGUAGGCGGCUUAUCAGGUCGGAUGUGAAAGCCCGCAGCUUAACUGCGGAAGUGCAUCCGAAACUGGCAGGCUUGAGUAUGGGAGAGGAAAGCGGAAUUCCCGGUGUAGCGGUGAAAUGCGUAGAUAUCAGGAGGAACACCUGUGGCGAAGGCGAUUUUCUGGACCAAUACUGACGCUGAUGCGCGAAAGCGCGGGGAUCAAACAG
rnacentral:rRNA from 1 species